ACGCUGGCGGCAGGCCUAACACAUGCAAGUCGAGCGGUAGAGAGAAGCUUGCUUCUCUUGAGAGCGGCGGACGGGUGAGUAAUGCCUAGGAAUCUGCCUGGUAGUGGGGGAUAACGUUCGGAAACGGACGCUAAUACCGCAUACGUCCUACGGGAGAAAGCAGGGGACCUUCGGGCCUUGCGCUAUCAGAUGAGCCUAGGUCGGAUUAGCUAGUUGGUGGGGUAAUGGCUCACCAAGGCGACGAUCCGUAACUGGUCUGAGAGGAUGAUCAGUCACACUGGAACUGAGACACGGUCCAGACUCCUACGGGAGGCAGCAGUGGGGAAUAUUGGACAAUGGGCGAAAGCCUGAUCCAGCCAUGCCGCGUGUGUGAAGAAGGUCUUCGGAUUGUAAAGCACUUUAAGCUGGGAGGAAGGGCAGUUGCCUAAUACGUAACUGUUUUGACGUUACCGACAGAAUAAGCACCGGCUAACUCUGUGCCAGCAGCCGCGGUAAUACAGAGGGGUGCAAGCGUUAAUCCGAAUUACUGGGCGUAAAGCGCGGCGUAGGUGGUUUGUUAAGUUGGAUGUGAAAUCCCCGGGCUCAACCUGGGAACUGCAUUCAAACUGACUGACUAGAAGUAUGGUAGAGGGUGGUGGAAUUUCCUGUGUAGCGGUGAAUGCGUAGAUA
rnacentral:rRNA from 1 species